rnacentral:rRNA from 1 species
AGUUUGAUCAUGGCUCAGAACGAACGCUGGCGGCAGGCCUAACACAUGCAAGUCGAGCGAACCCUUCGGGGUUAGCGGCGGACGGGUUAGUAACGCGUGGGAAUAUACCCUUUGGUACGGAAUAGCCUCGGGAAACUGAGAGUAAUACCGUAUGUGCCCUUCGGGGAAGGAUUAUCGCCAAGGAUUAGCCCGCGUUGGAUUAGAUAGUUGGUGGGGUAAUGGCCUACCAAGUCUACGAUCCAUAGCUGGUUUGAGAGGAUGAUCAGCAACACUGGGACUGAGACACGGCCCAGACUCCUACGGGAGGCAGCAGUGGGGGAAUCUUAGACAAUGGGCGGCAAGCCUGAUCUAGCCAUGCCGCGUGGACGAUGAAGGCCUUAGGGUUGUAAAGUCCUUUCAGAUGGGAAGAUAAUGACGGUACCAUCAGAAGAAGCCCCGGCUAACUCCGUG